GUGCACUUGACUGCAAGCACCUGCGCCCCCCCGAGGGGUGUCCGGAUUAGCAGGAGCUGAGUCACAUCCAAGAGUUGGCUGGGAUGUGAGUUGGUUGAGACUAUUUCCCAAAUAAACCUCUGCCACCUAGUUCCUCACCUCACCUCCCAGGGUACUGAGGAUUGAACCAAGGACCUGACAAAUAGUAGAUAAAUUCUCUACCGUAAACAUUUCUAAGUAAAGCAAAACACUCCGUAUAGAAGAACACACAAAUCCAUGAGCUAUCACAGGGAGAGCCCACCUGUGUGAUCAUCUUCCAGGCCAACUCACUCAGAUGCUCC